UACGUAGGGACCAAGCGUUGUUCGGAUUUACUGGGCGUAAAGGGCGCGUAGGCGGCGAAUCAAGUCAGCUGUGAAAUCUCCGAGCUUAACUCGGAACGGUCAGCUGAUACUGUUUUGCUAGAGUGCAGAAAGGGCAACCGGAAUUCUUGGUGUAGCGGUGAAAUGCGUAGAUAUCAGGAGGAACACCGGUGGCGAAGGCGGGUCUCUGGGCCGAUAUCGACGCUGAGGAGCGAAAGCGUGGGGAGCGAACAGG
rnacentral:rRNA from 1 species